rnacentral:lncRNA from 1 species
UCUGCUUAUCUUUGUGGGCUACAUGGUAGUUGAUACCCAGGAUAUAAUAGAGAAGGCUCAUUUUGGAGAUUUGGACUAUGUGAAGCACGCACUAACUCUAUUUACUGAUUUUGUUGCUGUCUUUGUUCGCAUCCUUAUUAUCAUGGUGAGUUUUGUGCAGUUCAAUUGUUCCGCAUGAUAAGUUUUGUGCAGUUCAAUUGUUCCCCUCGGCCAUAGUACAUGUAUUUUGUUCAUCUUAGCUUGUUCAUGUCAUUGUCUGACGUUCUGUUUGUCUCUUCAAUUCUGUUGCAGUUGAGGAAUGCAUCUGACAAAGAAGAGAAG